AGAGUUCGAUCAUGGCUCAGGAUGAACGCUAGCUACAGGCUUAACACAUGCAAGUCGAGGGGCAGCAUAUUUCUAGCAAUAGAGAUGAUGGCGACCGGCGCACGGGUGAGUAACACGUAUCCAACCUGCCUUAUACUCGGGGAUAGCCUUUCGAAAGAAAGAUUAAUACCCGAUGUUAUAGUCUAACCGCAUGAUUUGACUAUAAAAGAUUUUCGGUAUAAGAUGGGGAUGCGUUCCAUUAGAUUGUAGGCGGGGUAACGGCCCACCUAGUCUUCGAUGGAUAGGGGUUCUGAGAGGAAGGUCCCCCACAUUGGAACUGAGACACGGUCCAA
rnacentral:rRNA from 1 species